GCUUCCUUAGCUCAGUCGGUAGAGCGCCAGUCUCAUAGUUGAUUAUGAGCAGUGGAAUACUGCGCAAUCUGGAGGUCGCAAGUUCGAGACUUGCAGGGAGCA
rfam:Lentinula edodes NBRC 111202 DNA, contig: scaffold112.